AACGAACGCUGGCGGCAUGCCUAGCACAUGCAAGUCGAACGAGGGUCUCGCUUCGGUGGGGCCCUAGUGGCGCACGGGUGAGUAACGCGUGGGAACCUGCCCUGUGGUACGGAAUAACUCCGGGAAACUGGAGCUAAUACCGUAUGCGUCCUGCGGGACAAAGAAUUAUCGCCAUGGGAUGGGCCCGCGUAGGAUUAGCUUGUUGGUGGGGUAACGGCCUACCAAGGCAACGAUCCUUAGCUGGUCUGAGAGGAUGAUCAGCCACACUGGGACUGAGACACGGCCCAGACUCCUACGGGGGGCAGCAGUGGGGAAUAUUGGACAAUGGGCGCAAGCCUGAUCCAGCAAUGCCGCGUGAGUGAUGAAGGCCUUCGGGUUGUAAAGCUCUUUCGCACGCGACGAUGAUGACGGUAGCGUGAGAAGAAGCCCCGGCUAACUUCGUGCCAGCCGCCGCCGUAACAC
rnacentral:rRNA from 1 species